CGAGUAGGCCGGGUGAUCGCCCCGCACCUUUUGGUCUUUAGGAAUGUGCUAAAGGUUGUUACCUAAAAGAAGGAUGAGAGAGCAUAGUAACAAAGAUGAUACCGGUUGGGAACUCGUUUAUUACGAAGACCAAAAGGUGGGGGAGGAAAGUCCGAGCACCGCAGGGCAGGGUACUCUGGGAAACCAGAGGUCCCAAGGGCAACAUCCCUUGGGAACGGAAAGUGCCACAGAAAAUAUACCGCCCGGCGCACAGUUUGCUUUCUUCAAGAGAGUAUUAAAUAAAGCAAACUGUGUGCGGGGUAAGGGUGAAAAGGUGGAGUAAGAGCCCACCGUCCCGAUUGGCGACAAUCGGGGGCAAGGUAAACCCUACCCGGUGCAAGGCCAAAUAAAAGGGGAUUCCGAUUUUUCGGAAACGAGGUGGCCCGCCUCGUUCGACCCUUGGGUAGGCCGCUUAGAUUAAUGAUCACCGUCUCGCACCUUAUGAAGCCUGAAGGUGCGGGAUACAGAACUCGGCUUAUAGGCCUACUCGGGCA
rnacentral:RNase_P_RNA from 1 species